rnacentral:rRNA from 1 species
UACGUAGGAUGCAAGCGUUGUCCGGAAUUAUUGGGCGUAAAGAGCGAGCAGGCGGUUUCUCAAGUCAGAUGUAAAAUAUCCCGGCUUAACCGGGAGGGGCCAUUUGAAACUGAGAGACUAGAGUGGAGCAGAGGAUAGUGGAAUUCCCGGUGUAGUGGUGAAAUGCGUAGAUAUCGGGAGGAACACCAGUGGCGAAGGCGACUAUCUGGGCUUUAACUGACGCUGAGGCGCGAAGGCCGGGGGAGCAAACAGG